GUAGUCCACGCUGUAAACGAUGAGUGCUAGAUAUCGGGAGUUUAUCUUUCGGUUUCGUAGUUAACACGUUAAGCACUCCGCCUGGGGAGUACGAUCGCAAGAUUAAAACUCAAAGGAAUUGACGGGGGCUCGCACAAGUGGUGGAGCAUGCGGUUUAAUUCGAUGCUACGCGAAAAACCUUACCAACCCUUGACAUGGUGAUCGUAGGUCGUAGAGAUGCGACCGUCAGUUAGGCUGGAUCACACACAGGUGUUGCAUGGCUGUCGUCAGCUCGUGUCGUGAGAUGUUGGGUUAAGUCCCGCAACGAGCGCAACCCCCAUCCUUAUUUGCCAGCGGUUCGGCCGGGGACUAUAAGGAAACUGCCGGUGAUAAACCGGA
rnacentral:rRNA from 1 species